rnacentral:lncRNA from 1 species
AGUUCAGCUCUAACAUUUGUUUUGUGCUCUUCCAAUUCGUUCUAGCAAUGUAUUUGUGGAUAUUGCCGCGAUAAUGCUGCCAAAUUAACCUCAAACUUUCAAUUAUAGAUUAUAACUAAAUACCCUGACAGGUUGGUUCAUUGUAGUCCGAAAAAGUAAUGCAGCCAUCCUAGUUGCUGCAUUGCUUCGGUUGGAAGGGUAUGGUUUAUUAAUUCUUGUAUCUUAAUAUAAAUUCCCUCUGUAAGUUGAUGAUCUGCUAUAGGGGAUCUACAAGGACCACAUUGACAGGUUUGUCAGGACUAAUGCACACAUGUUUACAAAUCGUAUCGACCCGAAAGUUUCUCUAAACCGAGGUCCGAGUUUCACAGAAGUCAAGUAUUGACGAACGUUUGCCAACCGCCACCCUUUCUUAAUCUAGUCUUUGGGGCAUGAAAACCCUUAGAGCCUCUGUCCCUCUUCCACAGCUCUUGGGAUCCAAUCUGGCAGAGUUUCCCGGAUGAUGCUGCUGUGAUCCCCUUGAGAAAAUCAGAAAAUAAUAGUCAGCCUGACGUGCUGAAUGAAGCUUUUAAUCACAAGGGUUCAUGUCCUAAAAUACUGAGUUAUUCUUUCAUCCAACAAAUUUUCUGCAAAAAUUCCGAGCCGAUGUAGUUAGGAAAUUGGUGGUGUUACACCUCCGUUCCUCGGAGAGCUAGUUAAGCUAGUCUGUCCUGGUUAUUAUCAUUGACAUUUCACAGUAAUCGCAUUGGAGCAGCGUGGCUCUGAGCUCCAAAUACCGUCUUCUAUCAGGAGGGUAUUCUGUAAUGUACCAUUAAAAUAGGCCGAUAAUGAUGAUAAGGUCACGCGCACACGACUGCGCCAGUGAGGUAGUCACAACUGUGUCAUUACCAGCCAUCACGUCACAGUUACAAAAAAAGCCGUCGCGGGGCCUUCCUCUGUGUCGCUGAUGAUUGAUGCCGAGCCCGCCACAGCGCGCGUGCAUUCCCGCAUUAGUCACUGUCACAGCGAGUAUAUCUGUGCAACAAUGCCUUGUCUCGAUAUAUCUUCUUUCACUCAUCGUUAUUAGUUUGCCAAUUUGUUUAUCGGUGCAUCGGUGGUGAUUAUUUCUGUACGUUCAGCAAUUUCACCUCUUAUAUUUUAGUAGCUGACUGCCGAGGCUGCGGCCGCGCGGAAAACCAUGACUUUUUUAAUUUCAAACAAACUUUUUUACAAAAACAAAAUAUUUUGCCAUCCAUCUUGUACAUUCUAAGGGUAUAGCAACUAGCAAGUGACAUGGGAUAAUCUUGACGCCAAAAAUGUAUCUGUAUUUUGAUGCAAAACUUAACCUUCUCAUAGUAGUAGAAGCCGAAAAUAUCUAAAAGUAACUUAAAUUACCAGAAACGCUGGUAAUUAAGCUGAAAUUUGAAGCUGAGAGAACAAGCUCAAAUCUGAAGUGUAGUGUUCAAAUUCCGCUUGCUGCACUGUUGUCGUACCCCCACCCUUAAAGCUUUUCUCUUUUUUGAAUAAGGAUCAGAACUCUUUUCGAAAAAGUUAAAUAACUAUUAAAAGCGAACGAGGAACCUAGUCAGUAGUAGAAGUAGUAGGCAUUAAAUAACCAUAAUAUAAUGGUUCACCGCAUAUUUACGAGUAACUUUCACCUCAAAUUGGUCUCAAACUCCAUAAAGCAGUCACGCUUCACACAUUUACAAAACAUGUGCGCAAAUGUUUGGUUAAUCUGCGGAUACACCUGAACGCACCGCAGUCCGAUUUGUUUACGAUGUUAUGCAACUAAAUAUGAAUUUCAUAAUCUUGUUCUGCGUUCGCAUUACGUGAGCUGAUUUAUCCAUUGAGAGCACCGUGAACGCAUUGUUUGAUUAACUCAUCAUACAAUUUUGUACAUUGUGGUAUAAAAAAAGAUGUAGUGACGAAAUUCGAGAAAGGUAUGCUUAGAUGGCUUGGACACGUAGAGAGGAUGAACGAAAGGAGACUAACAAAAGGGAUUUAUAAUUUUAUGAAAAAAGAAGACAAAGAAGAAUGUUCUUGGACCAAUUCCAGGACAUUCUCAUUAAAGACCAGGAAUAGCCGGCCGCUGCCGAAAUAGACCGGGUGCGCUGCGGCGGCGGCGGCGUCCUUGGUAGCGGGUGCCGCCAUUGCCGCCUUGGGCUUGGUGUCAUUAGCAGUACUCUAUCCCUUUACUCAGCUGAAAAUCAGUGCCAGGCACUGAGGAAUUUCGGACGAAAAAAUAUUGCG